GGGGUUGUAGCCCAGUGGUACACCACUUGCCUAGCAUGCAAGAGGCCCUGGGUUCAAACCCCAGGACCACCA
rnacentral:tRNA from 1 species